CAUGCAGUCGAGCGAGGAGCUUGCUCCUAGCGGCGAACGGGUGAGUAACACGUGGGCAACCUGCCCCUGGCUCUGGGAUAACCCCGGGAAACCGGAGCUAAUACCGGAUACGACCUCAGAUCGCAUGAUCUUGAGGUGGAAAGAAUUUCGGCCAGGGAUGGGCCCGCGGCCUAUCAGCUUGUUGGUGGGGUCACGGCCCACCAAGGCGACGACGGGUAGCCGGCCUGAGAGGGCGACCGGCCACACUGGGACUGAGACACGGCCCAGACUCCUACGGGAGGCAGCAGUGGGGAAUAUUGCGCAAUGGGCGAAAGCCUGACGCAGCGACGCCGCGUGAGGGAUGACGGCCUUCGGGUUGUAAACCUCUUUCAGCAGGGACGAAGCGCAAGUGACGGUACCUGCAGAAGAAGCACCGGCCAACUACGUGCCGGCAGCCGCGGUAAUACGUANGGUGCAAGCGUUGUCCGGAAUUAUUGGGCGUAAAGAGCUCGUAGGCGGUUUGUCACGUCGGCUGUGAAAACCCGANGCUCAACCUCGGGCCUGCAGUCGAUACGGGCAGACUAGAGUUCGGUAGGGGAGACUGGAAUUCCUGGUG
rnacentral:rRNA from 1 species